UACAGAGGGGGCAAGCGUUGUUCGGAAUUACUGGGCGUAAAGGGCGCGUAGGCGGCCUGCUAAGUCGAACGUGAAAUCCCUCGGCUCAACUGAGGAACUGCACGGGAAACUGCUCGACUUGAGUUCGGGAGAGGGAAGCGGAAUUCCGGGUGUAGCGGUGAAAUGCGUAGAUAUCCGGAGGAACACCGGUGGCGAAGGCGGCUUCCUGGACCGACACUGACGCUGAGGCGCGAAAGCUAGGGGAGCAAACGGG
rnacentral:rRNA from 1 species